UUUCAAAAGAAAGAGUGACGACGUGCGUGCCUUUCUCCUCGCGCGCUCGCGCUGCAUUUCCGUGUUUCCGUCUGCCUGAGGCGUUUAGCUGGUUAAAGCAGCUGGGAUGCACCAGCAUGGCUUCCCCGGUGAUAUUUUGCUCCUGUGAAACCGUCUUACCCCUGGUCGAUUAAAUUGCCGCUUGCUUGAGUGUGUCUGAAAAUGAGUCCCUUGAAGGCUAUCUCAGACACUUGCUGAUGCGUGGCGUGGCAUCGAGUUUCAUCUAAAUACCCGGGGAAGCCCUGGUCUAAUGUUUUUAAUCAGUGAUGCUAGGCAGAGGGAAUUUCCUGCAAGAACUGGGGCCACCUGCUGUUUCCAACAGAGCAAACAGCACCUAACUAACUAACCAACCAACUGUCUGUCUUGUCUAUCUUGUCUUUUUGUCUAUGUAUUUUAAAAAAUACAACCCCAAAACAGAAAAAGUUGGGAUGGGAUGGAAAAUGCAAAUAAAAAAAAGAAAGCAGUGACUUCGAAA